AACGCGAAGAACCUUACCUGGGCUUGAACCGCACAGGACCAUCUUUGGAAACAGAGACUUCCCGCAAGGGACCUGUGUAGAGGUGCUGCAUGGCUGUCGUCAGCUCGUGCCGUGAGGUGUUGGGUUAAGUCCCGCAACGAGCGCAACCCUUACUCAUAGUUGCUACCCGCAAGGGAGAACUCUAUGAGGACUGCUCCGGAUAACGGAGAGGAAGGUGGGGAUGAGGUCAAGUCAGCAUGGCCUUUAUGUCCAGGGCUACACACGUGUUACAAUGCGCGCUACAGAGCGUUGCAAACCCGCGAGGGGGAGCUAAUCGCACAAAAGCGCGCUCAGUUCGGAUUGCAGUCUGCAACUCGACUGCAUGAAGCCGGAAUCGCUAGUAAUGGCGCAUCAGAACGGCGCCGUGAAUACGUUCCCGGGCCUUGUA
rnacentral:rRNA from 1 species